rnacentral:rRNA from 1 species
GACAGGGGUCUCGAGCGUUAAUCGGAAUCACUGGGCUUAAAGGGUGCGUAGGCGGGCCUGUAAGUGUCCUGUGAAAUCCCACGGCUCACCCGUGGAACUGCUGGGCAUACUGGCGAUCUUGGGCCAACUAGGGGCAACUGGAACAAGCGGUGGAGCGGUGAAAUGCGUAGAUAUCGCUUGGAACGCCAAAGGUGAAAACAGGUUGCUGGGGUUGUGCCGACGCUGAGACACGAAAGCCAGGGGAGCAAACGGG